rnacentral:lncRNA from 1 species
UGUCUAUGGGACUCCAUUUCCCACAGGAACAACUGUCCUGCAUAGUUCCUAUCUCACGCAGAUGCUGUCUUCGGUGCCUAGGUUUUGGGUUUAUCGUCAGUUUCCUCCUCUCCAAGCAUGCAAUAUGGCCAAGACAAUAGCCAGGGACAAGCCAGUGAGUACUUUGAAUGUACUCGCACACAUCAUGAAAAUAAACAUAAAUUGGCAGGGGUUAAUAUGCACUUGCAAUAAUACCACAAUAUUAUAUCAACCAUAAUACACUUCCCAAGUAGUAGUAAUGGAAUUUUUAUCAUACUGAGAAAGUAAUAAGAAAUUAAUAAGAGUAUGAUUAAUGGAUGUGAUAUAAAACAUGCCCCUGUCGCGGGCGUCUGAGCGACACCACAAACAGGGCUUGAAUAAAAUAAUAACAAGCAUGCCACUGUCGGGCUCUAAGCGACACCACAUAAAGGGCUUAUAUAUGAAAUAAUAAACAUGCCGCAGUCGGGCGUCUAAGCGACACCACAUAAAGGGUUUAUAUGAAAUAAUAAACAUGCCGCAGUCGGGCAUCUAAGCGACACCACAUAAAGGGCUUAUAUGAAAUAAUAAACAUAUCGUAGUCGGGCGUCUAAGCGACACCACAUAAAGGGCGUAUAUUAAAUAAUAAACAUGACGCAGUCGGGCAUCUAAGCGUCACCACGUAAAGGCCUUAUAUGAAAUAAUAAACAUGCCGCAGUCGGGCGUCUAAGCAACACCACAUAAAGGGCUUAUAUGAAAUAAUAAACAUGCCACAGCCGGGCAUCUAAGCGACAUCAUAUAAAGGGCUCAUAUGAAAUAACAAACAUGCCGCAGUCGGGCGUCUAAGCGACACCACAUAAAGGGAUUAUAUGAAAUAAUAAACAUGUCGCAGUCGAGCGCCUAAGCGACACCACAUAAAGGGAUUAUAAGACACAAUAAUAAAUAAUGAACAUCCAGGAGGUAGAACCAUCCCAGGGAUAUUCAACAAUCAUAAUCAUAGUGGUUAGUCCAUAGUAAAAUAAUAUUUAUGAUCAUCCACCAUAUUUCCUUUCUUAACUUCCUCCGGAGACCGACACUUGACUAGUCAACCAGUCAUCCUUGACCGUGGACACGACUACUCGAAUAGUUUCGACUCUACACAGGGUGUACUCUUUACCCACAGCCCACGGGUUUCAAUAGUCACUCGGACUAAUACCGCGUUCGGUAUCUCAGAAGCAAACACUUAGAACCAAUACACACCCAUUUUUCUCCCACAUAGACCGAUAUCACUCGUACUACGCUGCUAGAGAAAAACCAUAAGACAUGGAGGCUCCAACCUCGGCUAGCAUGGGAUCAAAUUUAUAUCGCGCGCUACAAGGGAAGAGCUCUUCCCUCUCGGUCCCCGACCGGAAACACCCAUGGCGGAUGACUGGAUUUAGUCCAGUGCCCCAGAUACCUUCAUCUCGGCCUCUCUACUUGGUGUGUACCUGGUAAUAGUUUACGACCUACUGAAC